rnacentral:rRNA from 1 species
AGCGAACGCUAGCGGCAGGCUUAAUACAUGCAAGUCGAGGGGCAGCAUGACUGUAGCAAUACAGUUGAUGGCGACCGGCAAACGGGUGCGGAACACGUACAGAACCUUCCUUCGAGCGGGGAAUAGCCAAGAGAAAUUUGGAUUAAUACCCCAUAGUACGACGGAGUGGCAUCACUUUGUUGUUAAAGAUUUAUAACUUGAAGAUGGCUGUGCGGCUGAUUAGGUAGUUGGCGGGGUAACGGCCCACCAAGCCUGCGAUCAGUAACUGGUGUGAGAGCACGACCAGUCACACGGGCACUGAGACACGGGCCCGACUCCUACGGGAGGCAGCAGUAAGGAAUAUUGGUCAAUGGACGAAAGUCUGAACCAGCCAUGCCGCGUGGAGGAUGAAGGUCCUCUGGAUUGUAAACUUCUUUUAUAUGGGACGAAAAAAGGGUUUUCUAACUCGUCUGACGGUACCAUAUGAAUAAGCACCGGCUAACUCCGUGCCAGCCGCCGCCGUAACAC